CAGGUAUACUCUCAUGUAGAGUACUAGUGGUACAAUAGUAGUGGAGUUGAGCGCCUCUGGUGGUGAGAGUGGUGGCCUUGAGAGAGGUUCCUUGAAGAUGGUGGUGAGGGUCUCUUGAUCCAAGGAAUGUGAUCUAUUCCACUGAGAGUGAACUUAUCCUCCCAGGUGGUCCAUGACCCCCACGGGUUGAGCGCUCUACUAAGAGUAGUACCGAGAGUGAGGGUGUAGUAGUGCUAUCUAGUGGUGGUAGUCAGAGUUAGUCAGGUUAUCAGUGAUGGUGUUAUAGUGAAGGUCAGGACAGUGACCAACCUCAAUGUCACUAAAAGUCAGUUAACCUUCAAUAGUCAUAGAGAUGGGAUGUGUUGCUCCUCCUCUUGCCACCCCCCCCCCCCGGCCGGCUUUACCGCUUCCUCUUCCUUUUAAUACACGUAAAUGAAGUGUGGUAACUGAGGAUUGCUGUGCCUGGCUGUGUACUGCAACAUUGAUCAACACAGCAACCUUGACCAGUCUGAGGGGUGGAGACAACCACACUAGUAACAUUUAAUGUUAUAUGGAGACGUCGUUGAGGUGGGCAGGGCCCACUUAUAAGGAUAAGUAUGAGGUGCACAAUAAUCUAGCCGCUCAGGCGACACAACUAAACUUCUCUCGAAUAAAGGGAAAUUACCAAUGCUCUACAAAUUUCUUAAGGAGGACUUUGACAAGGCAAUUGGAUUUCAUUGUUGGACUGUAUACAGCAAAUACCAACAGCCUAACUGCUCGAGUCGUCAACCAAAGUGGAA